AUGCCGCAAACAAAUGCUUUCUCGUGGAACACCCUCAUCGAAGCCCACGUCAACUCAGGCAACAGAAACAAGUCACUGCAAUUGUUUAAUGCCAUGACACACAAAACCCACUAUUCCUGGAACCUUCUUGUUUCAACGUUUUCCAAAUCUGGUGACCUUCAACUAGCUCACACCCUCUUCAACGCCAUGCCUCUAAAGAACCCCCCUUGUCUGGAAUUCCAUCAUUCACGGUUAUUCUAG